UACGUAGGGGGCUAGCGUUGUCCGGAAUCAUUGGGCGUAAAGCGCGCGUAGGCGGCCAGAUAAGUCCGGUGUGAAAGUCACAGGCUCAACCUGUGAAUGCCGCUGGAAACUGUCUGGCUAGAGUCCGGAAGGGGCGAGUGGAAUUCCUGGUGUAGCGGUAAAAUGCGCAGAUAUCAGGAGGAACACCGGUGGCGAAGGCGGGUCUCUGGGAAUGUCCUGACGCUGAGGAGCGAAAGUGUGGGGAGCGAACAGG
rnacentral:rRNA from 1 species